AUUGAACGCUGGCGGAAUGCUUUACACAUGCAAGUCGAACGGCAGCACGGACUUCGGUCUGGUGGCGAGUGGCGAACGGGUGAGUAAUGUAUCGGAACGUGCCCAGUCGUGGGGGAUAACGUAGUGAAAAUUACGCUAAUACCGCAUACGAUCUAUGGAUGAAAGCGGGGGAUCGCAAGACCUCGCGCGAUUGGAGCGGCCGAAGUCAGAUUAGGUAGUGGGUGGGGUAAAGGCCCACCAAGCCAACGAUCUGUAGCUGGGCUGAGAGGACGACCAGCCACACUGGAACGGAGACACGGUCCAGACUCCUACGGGAGGCAGCAGUGGGGAAUUUUGGACAAUGGGCGAAAGCCUGAUCCAGCCAUUCCGCGUGCAGAAUGAAGGCCCUCGGGUUGUAAACUGCUUUUGUACAGAACGAAAAGGUUUCUACUAAUACUAGGAGCUCAUGACGGUACUGUAAGAAUAAGCACCGGCUAACUACGUGCCAGCAGCCGCCUAA
rnacentral:rRNA from 1 species